GAGCUAUAGCUAUAUAGUAACUCAUUUUUAAACCAGGCACCCUCAUGCUCUUCUAUUCAUCUCUGGCCCAAGAACACCUUUCAGAUCUUUUAAUCACAUAAUAUCUUGCCUAACUUGUUGGUUCUUUUUGUAGAUUAAAUCAGCAGAAAUGAAGAAUGAGUAACAGGUGAUCAGAUCUCUUCCCUAGCUUCCUUUCAAGUAAUUGCCAGAACAAACUCUGCGACCAAACUGUGUGAACAAGAUAACAUCUAGAGGAAGAUCACAAGGAGUCAACAAGUCUCCACACAAGUCUGCACAGAAAAGGGGAUGGUGAUGACUCUGACCCCUAUUUCAAUGGUUAACUGAGAUUACUUCUCUGUUUCUCUUAAAAAGCUUUGAUGGCCAAGUGGAAUCUCUGGAGGUGGUUUUUGGGGAAUGUGGAUUCCACCAUGUCCUCAGAUUGCCAGCAUUCUGAUCAAAGGCACUUUUCCCUUCUACCAUUUGCAAAAUGGAUAUGACAAAGGACCUGAUCAAAAGCACCCCAAAGACAUCAAGUGCUGAUCAGUGCAUACUGUCAGCCUUUCCAGUAUUUCAGAAAAGUCUGCAGAGCAUUCCUCCUUCUGCCUGCCUCCUCUCAGUGUAACUUAUCACCAGUACGUAACCUUGAGCCAAAGAACUUGGAAAUGAUCUGAAUGUCAGAAUCUCCUCAGAAGUGAACGGUCUGAUGUCCAGGAAGAGCCAGUGCUGAAGUACCUUUAUCAUACCUUCCUCUAAAGGGCCAAGUUCUAAGCCCUCCAAUGCAACCUGUUUGCCAGCACUUCCACAAAACAGCCCUCCUCCUCUAAUUCAGAGAAGUUUGACCAAAACCCAGAUCUGGGACAUAGAUAUGAACUGUGCCUUCUGUCUCCU